rnacentral:rRNA from 1 species
AAACAUUAUAGCCGCAAGGCAGGUGUGAAGGUGCUGCAUGGUUGUCGUCAGCUCGUGCCGUGAGGUGUCGGCUUAAGUGCCAUAACGAGCGCAACCCUUAUCUUCAGUUACUAACAGGUGAUGCUGAGGACUCUGGAGAGACUGCCGUCGUAAGAUGUGAGGAAGGUGGGGAUGACGUCAAAUCAGCACGGCCCUUACGUCCGGGGCUACACACGUGUUACAAUGGGGGGUACAGAAGGCAGCUACCUGGUGACAGGAUGCCAAUCCCAAAAACCUCUCUCAGUUCGGAUCGAAGUCUGCAACCCGACUUCGUGAAGCUGGAUUCGCUAGUAAUCGCGCAUCAGCCAUGGCGCGGUGAAUACGUUCCCGGGCCUUGUACACACCGCCCGUCAAGCCAUGAAAGCCGGGGGUACCUGAAGUACGUAACCGCAAGGAGCGUCCUAGGGUAAAACUGGUAAUUGGGGCUAAGUCGUAACAAGGUAGCCGUACCGGAAG